ACUCCUACGGGAGGCAGCAGCUAAGAAUAUUCCGCAAUGGACGAAAGUCUGACGGAGCGACGCCGCGUGGAUGAAGAAGGCCGAAAGGUUGUAAAAUCCUUUUGUCGAUGAAGAAUAAGCAUGGGAGGGAAUGCCCGUGUGAUGACGUUAGUCGGCGAAUAAGCCCCGGCUAAUUACGUGCUAGCAGCCGCGGUAACACGUAAGGGGCGAGCGUUGUUCGGAAUUAUUGGGCGUAAAGGGCGCGUAGGCGGUCCUGUAAGCCCGGCGUGAAAACCUGGAGCUCAACUCCGGGCCUGCGCUGGGAACUGCGGGACUAGAGUCAUGGAAGGGAAGUUGGAAUUCCAGGUGUAGGGGUGAAAUCUGUAGAUAUCUGGAAGAACACCGGUGGCGAAGGCGAACUUCUGGCCAAUGACUGACGCUGAGGCGCGAAAGUGCGGGGAGCAAACAGGAUUAGAUACCCUGGUAGUC
rnacentral:rRNA from 1 species